UGUGUGUUAGUGGAAGCGUCUGGAAAGGCGCGCGAUACAGGGUGACAGCCCCGUACACAAAAAUGCACAUGCUGUGAGCUCGAUGAGUAGGGCGGGACACGUGGUAUCCUGUCUGAAUAUGGGGGGACCAUCCUCCAAGGCUAAAUACUCCUGACUGACCGAUAGUGAACCAGUACCGUGAGGGAAAGGCGAAAAGAACCCCGGCGAGGGGAGUGAAAAAGAACCUGAAACCGUGUACGUACAAGCAGUGGGAGCACGCUUAGGCGUGUGACUGCGUACCUUUUGUAUAAUGGGUCAGCGACUUAUAUUCUGUAGCAAGGUUAACCGAAUAGGGGAGCCGAAGGGAAACCGAGUCUUAACUGGGCGUUAAGUUGCAGGGUAUAGACCCGAAACCCGGUGAUCUAGCCAUGGGCAGGUUGAAGGUUGGGUAACACUAACUGGAGGACCGAACCGACUAAUGUUGAAAAAUUAGCGGAUGACUUGUGGCUGGGGGUGAAAGGCCAAUCAAACCGGGAGAUAGCUGGUUCUCCCCGAAAGCUAUUUAGGUAGCGCCUCGUGAAUUCAUCUCCGGGGGUAGAGCACUGUUUCGGCAAGGGGGUCAUCCCGACUUACCAACCCGAUGCAAACUGCGAAUACCGGAGAAUGUUAUCACGGGAGACACACGGCGGGUGCUAACGUCCGUCGUGAAGAGGGAAACAACCCAGACCGCCAGCUAAGGUCCCAAAGUCAUGGUUAAGUGGGAAACGAUGUGGGAAGGCCCAGACAGCCAGGAUGUUGGCUUAGAAGCAGCCAUCAUUUAAAGAAAGCGUAAUAGCUCACUGGUCGAGUCGGCCUGCGCGGAAGAUGUAACGGGGCUAAACCAUGCACCGAAGCUGCGGCAGCGACGCUGAUGCGUUGUUGGGUAGGGGAGCGUUCUGUAAGCCUGCGAAGGUGUGCUGUGAGGCAUGCUGGAGGUAUCAGAAGUGCGAAUGCUGACAUAAGUAACGAUAAAGCGGGUGAAAAGCCCGCUCGCCGGAAGACCAAGGGUUCCUGUCCAACGUUAAUCGGGGCAGGGUGAGUCGACCCCUAAGGCGAGGCCGAAAGGCGUAGUCGAUGGGAAACAGGUUAAUAUUCCUGUACUUGGUGUUACUGCGAAGGGGGGACGGAGAAGGCUAUGUUGGCCGGGCGACGGUUGUCCCGGUUUAAGCGUGUAGGCUGGUUUUCCAGGCAAAUCCGGAAA
rnacentral:rRNA from 1 species